CCUACGGGUGGCAGCAGUGAGGAAUAUUGGUCAAUGGGCGAGAGCCUGAACCAGCCAAGUAGCGUGCAGGAUGACGGCCCUAUGGGUUGUAAACUGCUUUUAUGCGGGGAUAAAGUGAGGGACGUGUCCUUCAUUGCAGGUACCGCAUGAAUAAGGACCGGCUAAUUCCGUGCCAGCAGCCGCGGUAAUACGGAAGGUCCGGGCGUUAUCCGGAUUUAUUGGGUUUAAAGGGAGCGUAGGCCGUGGAUUAAGCGUGUUGUGAAAUGCAGGUGCUCAACGUCUGCACUGCAGCGCGAACUGGUCCACUUGAGUGUGCGCAACGCAGGCGGAAUUCGUCGUGUAGCGGUGAAAUGCUUAGAUAUGACGAAGAACUCCGAUUGCGAAGGCAGCUUGCGGGAGCACAACUGACGCUGAAGCUCGAAAGUGCGGGUAUCGAACAGGAUUAGAUACCCCAGUAGUC
rnacentral:rRNA from 1 species